rnacentral:tRNA from 1 species
UUUUGCUUUAUUAUAUAUAGUAUAAAAAAUUUCCAAUUUUUAAGUCUCAAUUUGAGAAGCAAAAA